rnacentral:rRNA from 1 species
UGCGUAGGCGGAUUAAUAAGUCAGUGGUGAAAUCUUUCGGCUCAACCGAGAAACUGCCAUUGAUACUGUUAAUCUUGAGUUCGGUUGAGGUAGGCGGAAUGUGUAAUGUAGCGGUGAAAUGCUUAGAUAUUACACAGAACACCAAUUGCGUAGGCAGCUUACUAGACCGAUACUGACGCUGAGGCACGAAAGCGUGGGUAGCGAACAGGAUUAGAUACCCUGGUAGUCC